UCUGCCAAUAAGACGAGACCACGGCUCUACUGUGAACUUUCUGAUUGUCCAGCGGAACUACUUCACCCCCUGAAGAUUGUAACGUGAAUUCCACAUUGCCCUUCACUCUUCAGAUUUGUCGAGUUGAAGAUCUAACAGUUGAAGGCACCAUAACUGGAUCUGUUAUUCACUUUCACUGGGUCAGGGAUAUAUUUGUUUACCUAUCUGGUGCAAUUAGUGCUUCUGGUCUUGGCUGCACCGGUGAAGUGGGUAGAGGACGAAUUUUUGCAAAUGGUCUUGGUGCAGGUGGUGGACAUGGUGGGAAAGGUGGUGAUGGAUACUAUAAUGGCACCUUCAUUAAUGGCGGUGUUGCGUAUGGUGAUCCCAAUCUCCCUUGUGAACUUGGCAGUGGUAGUGGAAAUGGUAGUCUUGCUGGCGAAACAGCAGGUGGUGGGAUUAUUGGUAAGUUGUGAUUCUUCCUCUCUUUCUCUGAUUUUGUUUAUUAUUUAUUAUUUUAGUUAAUUUUUAAUGAUGUUUAUGUUUACUUGGAAUGAAAUUCCAUUGGUGACGUAAGGGACAUUUUUUCUUUGCGCUACUUAUGCUUACGUUGGACUACAAUAAGCUUUACUUUUCAGCUUAUUGUGUUGAUGUUGCUUAUUUCUUUAUAGAUUGAUAUUGGUUUUCAUAAUAAUGUUAUGUAAAAAAAUGUUGAUUAUUCAUUU